ACUCCUACGGGAGGCAGCCGUAGGGAAUCUUCCGCAAUGGCCGCAAGUCUGACGGAGCAACGCCGCCGCAGUGAUGAAGGCCUCCGGGUCGUAAAACUCUGUUGUCCGGAAGAACAAGUACUAGUGAAUAAGCGGCACCUGACGUCCGCCAAAGCAGUCAAAA
rnacentral:rRNA from 1 species